UAUGAUUUAGUAUAGUAUGUACAUAGAUUUUUGAUAUCUAAAGAAGUAGUUUAAACCUAUUAAUUAUAA
rnacentral:tRNA from 1 species